AAUGACCGGGGUAAAUCCGCGGUUCCAUUGGCAGCCGGACAACUUUCAAUUCGGUGGCGAGUGAUGGGCAUGGUGAGAAAGGCGUAGGUUACCUACCUCAUAGCGGGGGACAACCAGGUUAAAUUCUGGCUACUACCGCAUACGUAGCACGACAUGGGAAAAGUGCUAGAAAGAAUGCCUCUCCUUGGAAGCAUUUACUAUGAGAUGGGCCUGCGUUGUUUUAGCUUGUUGGUGGGGUAAUGGCCUACCAAGGCAACGAUGCAUAGCUGGUCUGAGAGGAUGAUCAGCCACACUGGAACUGAGACACGGUCCAGACUCCUACGGGAGGCAGCAGUGGGGAAUAUUGCGCAAUGGGGGAAACCCUGACGCAGCAAUGCCGCGUGAGUGAGGAAGGCCUUCGGGUUGUAAAGCUCUGUCAGAUGGGAAGAACAGCAGUUGGUCCAAUAGGCCAUCUGUUUGACGGUACCUUCAAAGGAAGCACCGGCUAACUUCGUGCCAGCAGCCGCGGUAAUACGAAGGGUGCAAGCGUUGUUCUGAUUUAACUGGGCGUAAAGCGCGCGCAGGCGGAGUGAUAAGUCAGAUGUGAAAUAUCGCGGCUCCUCCCCGAAACAGCGUCUGAAUCUGUUGAUCUAGAGUUAUGUAGAGGAGAAGGGAAAUUCGCAUGUAGGGGUAAAAUCCGUAGAGAUGCGAAGGAACACCAGAGCCGAAGGGGCUUCUCUGGGCAUACACUGACGCUGAGGCGCGAAAGCGUGGGUAGCAAACAGGAUUAGAUACCCUGGUAGUCGACGCCGUAAACGAUGAGUACUAGAUUUUGGGGCGGUUGACCGCUUCAGAGUCGCAGCUAACGCAUUAAGUACUCCGCGUGGGAAGUACGGUCGCAAGACUAAAACUCAAAGGAAUUGACGGGGGCCCGCACAAGCGGUGGAUUAUGUGGUUUAAUUUGAAGCAACGCGCAGAACCUUACCUGGGCUUGAAAUCCCCAGAAGAUCGGCCAAAAGGUGAUUGUGCUUUUCGGAGAAGUCGGUGACAGGCGCUGCAUGGCUGUGGUCAGCUCGUGUCGUGAGAUGUUGGGUUAAGUCUCGCAACGAGCGCAACCCCUAUCCUUAUUUGCCAGCACUAAGUUGUGCACUCUAGGGAGACUCCUUGGGUUAACCAGGAGGAAGGUGGGGAUGACGUCAAGUCCUCAUAGCCCUAAUGUCCAGGGGGACACACGUAAGACAAUAGUGCACACAAAGGGACGCGACCCCACGAGAGGCUCAAAUCUCAAAGAGUGCAUCAAGUCCGGAUUGGAGUCUGCAACUUUACUCCAUUAAAAGGAAUCGCCAGUAAUAGCCGAUCUUUAAGACGGUGAUAAUACUUCCCAGGCGUAUACACACCGUUAUUAUCCUGGGAGGGAAUAACGAAGCAAGCCCGGGUAUCUUACGAUGGUGAGAAC
rnacentral:rRNA from 1 species